GAGAAGACAUUGUGUCUUCGAGUCGUUGAUUUCACACUGCCGAGAAAAGCCUCUAGAUAGAAAAUAGGUGCCCGUACCGCAAACCGACACAGGUAGUCAAGAUGAGAAUUCUAAGGUGAGCGAGCGAACUCUCGUUAAGGAACUCGGCAAAAUGACCCCGUAACUUCGGGAGAAGGGGUGCUCUUUAGGGUUAACGCCCAGAAGAGCCGCAGUGAAUAGGCCCAAGCGACUGUUUAUCAAAAACACAGGUCUCUGCUAAACCGUAAGGUGAUGUAUAGGGGCUGACGCCUGCCCGGUGCUGGAAGGUUAAGAGGAGUGGUUAGCUUCUGCGAAGCUACGAAUCGAAGCCCCAGUAAACGGCGGCCGUAACUAUAACGGUCCUAAGGUAGCGAAAUUCCUUGUCGGGUAAGUUCCGACCCGCACGAAAGGCGUAACGAUUUGGGCACUGUCUCAACGAGAGACUCGGUGAAAUCAUAGUACCUGUGAAGAUGCAGGUUACCCGCGACAGGACGGAAAGACCCCGUGGAGCUUUACUGUAGCCUGAUAUUGAAAUUCGGCACAGCUUGUACAGGAUAGGUAGGAGCCUUUGAAACGUGAGCGCUAGCUUACGUGGAGGCGCUGGUGGGAUACUACCCUAGCUGUGUUGGCUUUCUAACCCGCACCACUUAUCGUGGUGGGAGACAGUGUCAGGCGGGCAGUUUGACUGGGGCGGUCGCCUCCUAAAAGGUAACGGAGGCGCUCAAAGGUUCCCUCAGAAUGGUUGGAAAUCAUUCAUAGAGUGUAAAGGCAUAAGGGAGCUUGACUGCGAGACCUACAAGUCGAGCAGGGUCGAAAGACGGACUUAGUGAUCCGGUGGUUCCGCAUGGAAGGGCCAUCGCUCAACGGAUAAAAGCUACCCCGGGGAUAACAGGCUUAUCUCCCCCAAGAGUUCACAUCGACGGGGAGGUUUGGCACCUCGAUGUCGGCUC
rnacentral:rRNA from 1 species